rnacentral:lncRNA from 1 species
CUUAUUUUCUUUUUUGAGAGGUAGGUAGUAUGUUACCGUUUCGUUUAUUUCAUUUAAAAAUAAAUUUUGCUGGAAAUAUGAAUCAACUAGGAUUCGAACUUGGGUCUCGGGUACCAAUCACCAAACCCUUAAUUUACCACUUGCUCUAGGGACGGUCGGUUUAAUUGGCACCUUAUGGUCCAUAAUUUUUGCGCACAUAAGUAGACCUAGCAAACGGGAGGGUUGGGUAACCCGCGGGCGGAUUAUUGUACCCACGGGUUACUUGGGCAUGGGUAAAAUUUACCCACAAAAUUUUGGGUAGCCAACAUUAUUAUCCAUACCCACCCGCGGGUGGGCGGGUGGGUAUGCGGGUUACCCGCAAUUUUUUUUAUUUUUUUCUCUGAUAUUUUUUAAAUGCAAAAUACAUAUAUAUAAGUUUUAAAAUAUAGCAUAACUCAUUAUUUAAAAUAUCAUAACAUACAAUAAAAAUAUUUAAAGUCUUAGAGCUUAAAAAUUUUGUAAUAUAAAAGACGUGAUAAAAAAUUAAAGUUAGAAUUUGUAGGAUGAGUAAAUAAAAAUAUAUAUAUUUUAAUUAAGAAAAUAUAUUUUGUAAUUAAAAAAUAUAUGUGCGGGUACCCAUGGGUACCCGUGGGUUACCCAAAAUAUCCACAGCUUAAUGGGUACCCACCCGUUUUACCCGUAACUUUUUGGGUUGAAAAAGUUGGUACCCAUACCCGCAAAUUUGCGGGUAACCCGCGGGCACCCGCGAGUAUGGGUCGAGAUUGCCAGGUCUACAUAUAAGUCAUGAAUAAUUAACCGUCCAAGGCUGAAAUAUCCUGGAGGCAAUUGCUUAUAUAUUUCUAAAAAUUUUCCGACUUUCUUAUAUAUCCUUUUUAGAAAACUAAUAUUAAAAAUACUUUUUUAACGUUCCAAAUUGUUUCAAAUAUAUUCCUAAAAUUAAAUUGAAACGGUCGUUAUCUCUAUAAAAUUAUUAUUUUGCACUUUUAAAUAUAUUCUUCUAACUUUACCAACUUUUCUUAUUUGUUCUUAUUAGUUAGGGAUAAAAGAAGUAUUUUGACUUUUAAUCUUUUCAAAUAUACUCUUCUACCGUCACCAACUUUUGUUAUUUGUCUUUUCAGUUAGGAGUAGAAGAGGUAUUUUAAUUUUUUUAAUUCUACUAGAAAUUUAAUCUGUGUUUAAUCCGAGAUGACCUAACGGAAAUUAACAACGGAAUUAUUUUUGAAUAACGGAAAAAUAUAUCAGGACUAUAUUUGAAACAAAAAAAUGAUAGGAAUAUAUAAGAUAUUUCAAAAGUUUUGAGAAAUAUAUUAGAUAUUAUCCCAAAAUCAUAUAUGCAACUGACAAUCAUAUAUGCCGUUGAGUCGGGCUACUAUUCUCUUUCAAGGGUUGACAGUUUUAAAAUUUAUUUUUUUAAAUUUUUUUGAAAUAACUUUUAUUUUGAAAUAUACAAAAAUAAGUUCAAAAUUGUGUUUGGUUAAGAAUUUUUUAUAU